CAGCCGCCGCGGGAAUACGUAGGGUGCGAGCGUUAAUCGGAAUUACUGGGCGUAAAGCGUGCGCAGGCGGUUUUGUAAGACAGGCGUGAAAUCCCCGGGCUCAACCUGGGAAUGGCGCUUGUGACUGCAAAGCUAGAGUGCGGCAGAGGGGGAUGGAAUUCCGCGUGUAGCAGUGAAAUGCGUAGAUAUGCGGAGGAACACCGAUGGCGAAGGCAAUCCCCUGGGCCUGCACUGACGCUCAUGCACGAAAGCGUGGGGAGCAAACAGGAUUAGAGACCCCCGUAGUCCCUGUCUCUUAUAC
rnacentral:rRNA from 1 species